rnacentral:lncRNA from 1 species
GCUAUGGGGCAGUUAUGGGGUCUAUGGGGUGGAUGUGGGGGGCUAUGGGGCAGUUAUGGGGUGGCUGUGGGGGCCAUGGGGCCUAUGGGGCAGAUAUGGAGGGCUAUGGGAUGGCUAUGGGUGUCUAUGGGGCAGAUACGGAGGGCUAUGGGAUGGCUAUGGGGCACCUAUAGGGCAGAUAUAGGGCAGCUAUGGGGCGGCUGUAGGGGCCAUGGGGGCCUAUGGGGCAGAUAUGGAGGGCUGUGGGGCAGGUAUGGAGGGCUAUGGGAUGGGUAUGGGGGGCUAUGGGAUGGGUAUGGGGGGCUAUGGGAUGGCUAUGGGGCAGCUAUGGGUCAUCUCUAGGUGAUGUCUAUGUGACCCAUCACUGAGUGCAGCAGACCAUGGCCGCAUCGUUGAGGCCGGUGUCAUCCUGUGACCGUUGCGGUGCCUCCACCCUGGUCCUGAUGCCGCAGAUCCCCACAUGUGUGGGGCACGGCUGGCUCCAAUUGCCCCAUUGCCCCCGAGCUCCGCCCCCCCCGUCCAACACGGUCCCGUCCGAGCACAUGAACGACGCGUCGUUGGCCGCUGUGUCGUCCCGGAACCCGCCGCGAGGGGGCUCCACCCGCAACCGGAACGACGUGAGGCGGGACGAGCGGGGGCAGCCGCGGGCGGGGAGCCAGGAACCCCAGCUAUGGGGGGAAGGGAGUUAGGGGGCUAUAGGGACACAUAGGGACCCAUAGAGACCCCAUAAGGACAUAUAGGGACACCCACCCCAUAGAGACCCCAUAGAGACCCAUAGGGACACAUAG